rnacentral:rRNA from 1 species
UACCUGCACCCCGAGUGGUCGGGACGUUUAUUGGGCCUAAAGCAUCCGUAGCCGGUUCUACAAGUCUUCCGUUAAAUCCACCUGCUUAACAGAUGGGCUGCGGAAGAUACUAUAGAGCUAGGAGGCGGGAGAGGCAAGCGGUACUCGAUGGGUAGGGGUAAAAUCCGUUGAUCCAUUGAAGACCACCAGUGGCGAAGGCGGCUUGCCAGAACGCGCUCGACGGUGAGGGAUGAAAGCUGGGGGAGCAAACCGG